GGAGACGUGGCAGAGCGGCCGAAUGCACCGGUCUUGAAAACCGGCGACGGGUAACCGUCCGAGGGUUCAAAUCCCUCCAUCUCCG
rnacentral:tRNA from 1 species